rnacentral:rRNA from 1 species
UGCAGUCGAGCGGAACGAGUUAGUCUGAACCUUCGGGGAACGAUAACGGCGUCGAGCGGCGGACGGGUGAGUAAUGCCUGGGAAAUUGCCCUGAUGUGGGGGAUAACCAUUGGAAACGAUGGCUAAUACCGCAUAAUAGCUUCGGCUCAAAGAGGGGGACCUUCGGGCCUCUCGCGUCAGGAUAUGCCCAGGUGGGAUUAGCUAGUUGGUGAGGUAAGGGCUCACCAAGGCGACGAUCCCUAGCUGGUCUGAGAGGAUGAUCAGCCACACUGGAACUGAGACACGGUCCAGACUCCUACGGGAGGCAGCAGUGGGGAAUAUUGCACAAUGGGCGCAAGCCUGAUGCAGCCAUGCCGCGUGUAUGAAGAAGGCCUUCGGGUUGUAAAGUACUUUCAGCAGUGAGGAAGGUGGUGUACUUAAUACGUGCAUCAUUUGACGUUAGCUGCAGAAGAAGCACCGGCUAACUCCGUGCCAGCAGCCGCGGUAAUACGGAGGGUGCGAGCGUUAAUCGGAAUUACUGGGCGUAAAGCGCAUGCAGGUGGUUUGUUAAGUCAGAUGUGAAAGCCCGGGGCUCAACCUCGGAAUUGCAUUUGAAACUGGCAGACUAGAGUACUGUAGAGGGGGGUAGAAUUUCAGUGUAGCGGUGAAAUG